CGGAGCCUGGGGAACCGGGAAUCCCAACCGCCCCAAGCAGGGAAGUUUGAACCGAUAAUGCUACCUCAGCAGAAUAUCCUUGGCACAAAUAUAAGAUUGUGAUAAGAACAGAAGCUGCCUAUUCUAUGGAUUUACAAGGAAUCAGGACUCCUUUGAGAAAUGGCUGAUUCAACAUUAAGGCCU